rnacentral:rRNA from 1 species
UACAGAGGUCUCAAGCGUUGUUCGGAUUCAUUGGGCGUAAAGGGUGCGCAGGCGGCGGGGCAAGUCGGACGUGAAAUCCCGGGGCUUAACCCCGGAACUGCGUUCGAUACUGCCUUGCUCGAGGACUGGAGAGGAGACUGGAAUUCCUGGUGUAGCAGUGAAAUGCGUAGAUAUCAGGAGGAACGCCAAUGGCGAAGGCAAGUCUCUGGACAGUUCCUGACGCUCAUGCGCGAAGGCCAGGGGAGCAAACGGG